rnacentral:piRNA from 1 species
UCGAUUAACUGGAUCUAUUGCGCUUCU